rnacentral:lncRNA from 1 species
CUCAUUCUCUCUGCUGAACUACAAUCAGAUUUCAGCAUUCAAUCUUUCUUCUUCCCAUUUAAUAACAAUCAUACUUCCAUUCCAUAAUUUACUUUCACAAUAUUCAGAAACUCUUAAUCUUCUUAUUCAAAGAAAAUAACAAACAAAAGAAAAGAAGUAGCACCAAACUUACCCUGGCUCACACUAUCACAGUCUGGCCCCUACUUCCUCUCUCCCAUCCUCCUUAUGCUACCACAAGAUACCAACUGCUACAUCUCUAAUGAAAACUACUUUUCCUAACUAUUCAUCCAUUUU